AUACGGAGGGUCCGAGCGUUAAUCGGAAUUACUGGGCGUAAAGCGCGCGUAGGUGGAUGUAUAAGUCAGAUGUGAAAGCCCUGGGCUCAACCUAGGAACUACAUUUGAAACUGUACGUCUAGAGUAUGGUAGAGGUGAGUGGAAUUUCAGGUGUAGCGGUGAAAUGCGUAGAGAUCUGAAGGAACAUCAGUGGCGAAGGCGACUCACUGGGCCAUUACUGACACUGAGGUGCGAAAGCGUGGGUAGCAAACAGGAUUAGAAACCCUAGUAGUCC
rnacentral:rRNA from 1 species